UUCUGAGCUUACAUGGGGCAUUUCAAUACAGUGACCCAAUUACUUUCUGUCAACAAAUUCACCAGCAAAAUAAAGGGGCUAACACAUUAACGAGAUUUCCUGAGACUGCCAUGUAGAGAUGCUUGCAAUCCUUUGCUCUGAAGAAGCCAGGCACCAUGGCAUGAGGCAGCCCUGUGGAGAGGUUCAUGUGGUACAGGACCAGGCCUGCAACAUCACUUGAGACCACAAAACAGCCUUGUAAACUCAUCCUAGAGGAUCUAAAAGAGAACCCCCUCAUAACAGAAUGGCAUUCCCAGCUUGCGGGCCCUGAGACUCCAUUGAGUCAUGCCACAUGUAUGGAAAAUGAUUUUUGGAGUGUUAUUCUAUCUAAGGAAAAACAAAGCAAAUUUUCCACUUUCAAGAUUAAAGGACAUUCUGUCUACAUUAAGACAAGCAGGGUAAGUCUUAAACACUUGUUAAUCUUAGCACUAUGUUUAACAAGCCUCCCAAGUAUGGAACUCAAGAAACCUAAGAAAUGAGAUCAAUGUUAGCUUUUUCAUGAAAUUUAAAUGUGUCAAACAAUAAAGUCUUCAAAUAUUUUGCCAUUUUUUGCUAACAGGGAAAAUUAAGCAGUGAAUUAAUGACCUCACAAGGAUUUUGGAGAAUGCUGGCAUCAUUCUCAGGGAUAGAUUUCAUCCAAUUCCUCUCUUUGAUGGAGUGCAAAGAAGUAAGUUACUGUUGGACUAAGAAUAUCCAAGACAAUGGCCACAACUUGAAAGCACAUGGAAAAACAUGAAUUAUUUUUAUAAUGUCAGCUAAUCCACAGCUGUGCCACCUGUUAGUAUGGAUGCUAUCCAAAAGGAUUUUUGAAACCUUGUUAUCCAAAUGCAGAAAUGGCAGCCGAAGAGAUGAUUUGUGACAGUAUUUGCUGAGACGAAGUCUGUCCACUAGAUGGAUAAAACCAGUUCCCUUUUCAUAGGUUCUUUUAAUGCAAGAGAAAGAAAACCAGCUACAACCAGCUAAAAUCAAAUGGGGAGUUUCAUGGGGCACAUCCACAAAGUGGACAUGUCAGGACAGGGGAACAUCUGGAUCACAAGAAUGCCGGUUCCCGAAGACAAUAAGGAUGGUUUCCAGCCUCUACUAUUUCUGCACUGUGAAGCCAUCAUCUCCAUUUCAGACUUUCCCACUAAGCAGGAAAUACAACUGCCAACAGCAGCUAGCUUCAUACCUCAAAGCAACACCAGAAAGAAGAAGCAUUUCCACUGAGGGAAGGAUUGACUGUGAGGAGUAUUUCCCC